rnacentral:rRNA from 1 species
GAUGAACGCUGGCGGCGUGCCUAAUACAUGCAAGUCGAGCGAACAGACGAGGAGCUUGCUCCUCUGACGUUAGCGGCGGACGGGUGAGUAACACGUGGAUAACCGACCUAUAAGACUGGGAUAACUUCGGGAAACCGGAGCUAAUACCGGAUAAUAUAUUGAACCGCAUGGUUCAAUAGUGAAAGACGGUUUUGCUGUCACUUAUAGAUGGAUCCGCGCCGCAUUAGCUAGUUGGUAAGGUAACGGCUUACCAAGGCAACGAUGCGUAGCCGACCUGAGAGGGUGAUCGGCCACACUGGAACUGAGACACGGUCCCGACUCCUACGGGAGGCAGCAGUAGGGAAUCUUCCGCAAUGGGCGAAAGCUUGACGGAGCAACGCCGCGUGAGUGAUGAAGGUCUUCGGAUCGUAAAACUCUGUUAUUAGGGAAGAACAAAUGUGUAAGUAACUAUGCACGUCUUGACGGUACCUAAUCAGAAAGCCACGGCUAACUACGUG